CCAUUAUUCCAUCGCCAUUACCGACCUCUCUCCUCCUUAAAACCUCCAUUUCCCCUUCCCCUCUUUCCCAUUUCUUCAUCCAAACCAAACCACAAACUACUCUCCCCAUCCCCUCUACAAAUUUCGUAUUUUCUCUUUCUAGAUUGAAGCAGGCAACCGAAUUUUGUCAUAAUUUUAAAAUUUUACACACACAAAAAGAAAAAUGGCUCAGAGAACGGAGAAAGAAGAGACGGAGUUCAAGGCCGUACCUGAAACGAUAACGCUUUGCAUCAACAAUUGUGGAGUUACAGGAAAUCCAGCCACAAACAAUAUGUGUCAAAAGUGCUUCAACGCCACCACCGCGGCUACCUCAACUUCAUCCAGCUCGCCGACGGGGACGUCGGUGACGAUUCCUCACAAUUUCGCUGAAAAAUUGGUCAGAUCUGAAAAAUCGGCGAGAUUCAGCUCGUUGAGGUCGUCGCCGGACAGGAAGUCUGAUCUGGACAGGAUGAGUCAAGAUCUGAAGAAAGUUGGAGAUACGAUGAUGGUAAAGGAGGAGGAUCAACUGAAGGCAAGCUUACCGCCGGCUAAGAGAGAGGUGAAUCGUUGCUCCGGUUGUCGAAGGAAGGUAGGAUUGACCGGAUUCCGAUGCCGGUGCGGCGAGUUGUUUUGCGGUGAACAUCGAUACUCCGAUCGUCAUGAUUGUAGCUACGACUACAAAACCGCCGGCCGAGAAGCGAUCGCGAGGGAGAAUCCAGUCGUGAAAGCAGCAAAAAUCAUUAAAGUUUGAAAGGAUAACACGAAACCACGUCCUUUUUACCUUUAUAAUCAAAUUUCAUGAUGAAAAAAAAUAGAGAGAGAUCGAAUUCCGAUCUCCAUAACUGCUGCUGCUGUUAUUAUGCUUUUCGUCGUCUCAGAGGGGGAGAGACGCACAACGAACGCAAAAAACAAAAUAAUAUCAAAACUAGAAGAGUAAUUCGAAAAAAAAUAUAUUUUUAUCAUAUAUUUAUAUAAUUCGAAGUCAUGAAUUUGUUGUGUGAAAAAUUCAUCCCCUUCUCUGAAUUGUUAUUUUGAAGAAUUAAAUCCUUUUUAAUUUUUUUUUUUCCAGUGUUCUACAGAAAGAUUGUGGCUUUACAGUUUCUUUUAUCUUCGUUUAGUCCUUGUUUGGUUAUUGAGCAAAAUGGAACCAUUUGAUCACACCUUCAAAGAGAGCAUCCAAUUAUCAUUUUUCUCUGUAAAAGCAAACGCGGUUUUACAUAAUUUCCAUGAGUGGCAUAUGGUCGUAAAUUGAUGGGAAGUGUGGGGGUGCUAUGUUAUUUGAAUUUCUUAAAGUAAAAGAUAAGAUAUAGAAAAGGUUGGGCCCACCAGGUGGUCAAGUGGUUGUUGGUAUCGUGAUAAAUUGGGAAUGAAUCGAG
rnacentral:misc_RNA from 1 species